CUUUGAAAACCAUGGCGUUUGGGGGAGGUCCUGGAUGCCUAGAAAAAGGCUAAAGUAAUGCCCAUGUUUUAAAAAGGGAAGAAGGAGGAUCCGGAGAACUACAGG